AUUGAACGCUGGCGGCAGGCCUAAUACAUGCAAGUCGAGCGUGCGGCGGACGGGUGAGUAAUGUCUGGGAACCUGCCUGCAGGAGGGGGAUAAAUACUGGAAACGGUAGCUAAUACCGCAUACCAUCAGAUGUGCCCAGUUGGUAUUCGAUAGUGGGUGGGGUAACGGCCCACCUAGGCGACGAUGCCUAGCUGGUCUGAGAGGAUGAUCAGCCACACUGGAACUGAGACACGGUCCAGACUCCUACGUGAGGCAGCAGUGGGGAAUAUUCCGCAAUGGACGCAAGCCUGAUCCAGCAAUGCCGCGUGAGUGAAGAAGGCCUUCGGGUUGUAAAGCACUUUCGGCAGAGAGGCGGUACCCGCAGAGAAAGCACCGGCUAACUACGUGCCAGCAGCCGCGGUAAUUC
rnacentral:rRNA from 1 species